UACGGGGGGGGGCAAGCGUUGUUCGGAAUUACUGGGCGUAAAGGGCUCGUAGGCGGCCAACUAAGUCAGACGUGAAAUCCCUCGGCUUAACCGGGGAACUGCGUCUGAUACUGGAUGGCUUGAGUUUGGGAGAGGGAUGCGGAAUUCCAGGUGUAGCGGUGAAAUGCGUAGAUAUCUGGAGGAACACCGGUGGCGAAGGCGGCAUCCUGGACCAAUACUGACGCUGAGGUGCGAAAGCGUGGGGAGCAAACAGG
rnacentral:rRNA from 1 species